rnacentral:tRNA from 1 species
AUUAGAGUAGUUAAAUUUUUAUAACAUUAUUUUUUCAAGAUGAAAUAGGACCAAAGUCCCUCUAAUC